GGACGGGGACGGGGCCUCAGCCGGAAGUCUCCACCACGAAGGGUGAAAGAGGAACCAUUACUAGAAAGCAGUGUGUGAGGGAGGCGCCGGUGGGAAUCAGCUGCUCCCAGGAGGAGGCCCAGGGAGGACCUGCACCUCUGAGAACCAGGAGGAAGAUCUCCGCUCAUGGAUUUCCACCCAGGGUCCAGAGGUCCACAGUUCCGACUCUCUGUCUGACGCUCUGAGAGCCUUUGAUGUGCCGGGCAGUGAGUGGACAGCAGCGAGUGCCUGACCACCCCUGGAAGGCGGGCGGCUCCUUUCCCCUCCCCGUCCCGGGCUCCUCCAUAUCUAACCAGCGAACCAGAGACGGGGGCUUUUGCCCAACUCCAUCCCCCUCGUCCUCUUCCUGCCAUGGAGGGCAAUGUGCCUACAAGGACCCUGGCCACAGAGAGCCCCGAGAGGAGGGUGAACUCAGGUGGCGGAGCUGGAAGUCCAUGCCCCUCCUGUGCGUUCCGUGCCGCACCACCCUGGGCAGGAGCUGUCCCCUCGGAGGACCUCCACAUCCUCGUCCGUAAAACGUGGAGCAUUUUCUUUGCACGUGCAGAGAACACAGGAGGCUAUGAAUGUGUCCUGGGAAAGACAGCGUGCUCUGCAGCCAGGUGGCCUGGGGUUGAAUCCCAGCUCUGAGAUAAAGGCUGUGUGACCUUGGUGAGAUGCGGAUAGCAACACCCCCUCCCAUGUGUGUGUGUCACCUGCCGCCAGUUCUCUGCCAGAAAACAGUGACUGGCUCAGCCCUGGGAACUGCUUCCACUUGUACUGUGUGUGUGUGUGUGUCCACAUGCAAGGUAAGGCACAGUCCCCUCAGCUCACCUGGGAGCGGAAAGACAAGAGUCAAAGGCACCCAAGGCGGAGGGCACGGGCUGUGGGUCCCCAGCUCGGAGAGCCGCUCCUCUGGCCGGGGCUGGCGGGAUCGCACAGGGGGAAGGGAAGGAGCAGCAGGCCUGGGGUUCUCUCGGGUCCUCACACUGGGGACCCUGCCCAGGUCUGGGGAGGGAAGCCUCUUAUCUGUGGACGUACCUUCCAUAGUAUAAGAUGGUUUCGGGCUUGAUGGAUCCAUCGAGGUGGACGUGUAGUUCUACCUGGAAGGGGCGAAGGGAAGCAAGAGAGAACGCACACCGUGAGUACCUGACGGGCUCUUCAGAGAGUCAGUGUUAACAUGAACCGCGAUAGCCCUGAGGUACUGCCUGCCAGACAUCACGUACGCGUCACCAAACUCUACACACCUGAUCUCAUUUAAUCCCCACCUGUGUGGUGGGUUUGUUUCUCUGUCUCAUUCACAGCAAGAAUACUGAGGUUCAGAGAGGUUUGAGAACUGGUCCAAGGCCACACAGCAAGCCAGUGCCUUUGGAUUUAAGCACAGCCGACAAGUGACAGAACCAGAAUUCUAACUCAAGCCCAGUUCCGAAGCUGGUGCUUCAACACACGAGGCCUGCCACAGUCCCCUCGGAGCUCCAGAGCCCCAGCCGCCGCCCAGGCGAGUCCUGUUCUCGGACAACUUGCUAAACAAAUUCCUGCUUUGACAACAAGGGUGGACCACAGACUUCCUGUACUAGUGAAUCACAUGGCAUAUCUCAAAAAUCAGACACCAUUUUCACUUUUUAAAAUCUUAACCCGAGGACAGUUUUUUUCACUGCUUUUAGAGAAAAAGGAAGAGAGGGAGGGAGAGAAACAUCAAUUGGUUGCCUUUCUGUAUGUGUAGUCCCACCGGGGAUCGAACCAUCCACCUCUCGGUAUGUGGCACAACCCUCCAACCCAUGGAGCCACGCUGGCCAGGCUCCACUUUCAAAAGCAGGUGUUACUUAAACAUGGCUUCUCGGGAAUUAAUAUUAAAGCAACACAAGAUCUUUCCACGACUCAAGAAAGGACACCAGAUACUCCGCCAUCUGGGUGAUCGUCUCCUACGCGCCCGGCCCCACGAACAAAACCCAGCCCCACGGACAGCGCUCUGCACACAAAGCCACCAGUUUACGUACAGGGUCUUGGGAGACGCCCGCCAGGCCCGACUCCCAGCCUUGCCUCUUCCUCUGGCUGCACGACUGGGACACGACACUCGAGCUCUGGGCCUCAGUUUCGACGGGAAAACAACGGGCUCCGCCUGCCUCCCUGACAAUUGUCAGGAUUCCAAACCCAGUGCAGGUGGGUGCGCACGGCCCACGGGGAACGGCCUCCUCCCCUCAGUGUUUUCCACGUGCUGCCGAGAAAAGCGCAGCAGGUGCUGGAAGACAGCGGGGAAGUGCCUCCGUCCUCUGCCUGUCCCAGGUCACAAAGGACACGUUCCUGGGCCAGGGGGAGAGCUACACAGCCCUCACUGCCAUGCCCAGCAGCGUGGGGCGGUCCCUGGAACUUAGGGAUGUGGACGAGAAGGCGGCUGCCUCGGCUGCAGAGGAGACUCAGCAUGUCCUAGAACACCCGCAUGGGCGCCUCCCUUGGAGGAAA